rnacentral:rRNA from 1 species
CGGAGGAUCCGAGCGUUAUCCGGAUUUAUUGGGUUUAAAGGGCGCGCAGGCGGGGGAUUAAGUCGGCGGUGAAAUUUUGCAGCUCAACUGUAAAAGUGCCUUCGAAACUGGUUUCCUUGAGUGUAGAUGAAGUAGGCGGAAUUUGUGGUGUAGCGGUGAAAUGCUUAGAUAUCACUAGGAACUCCGAUUGCGCAGGCAGCUUACUAAACUACUACUGACGCUCAGGCACGAAGGCGUGGGGAUCAAACAGGAUUAGAUACCCUGGUAGUCCCU